UCGAGAGAGAGCUCGGUGCGCUCUGACCCGGACACAGCCACGACCCAAGAGAGAAACCCGACCGGAGUGACGCCGUCCGGCCACCGAUCGACUACUCACGACCACCGAUAUCUUCCUCUAGUCGUCGCCGUCACGGUACUGUCCCUAUCUUGAUCGUUUGUCGACUGUGGAGAUAGAAUCGACGCCGAGAAGACCAGACUGCUACGGUGAUUUCGUGGCUAUUUCCGGCGACUCCGGUCACCGAUUUGUCUGCAUGUGUGCACGGCGGCUUUUCCAGUGCUUCUUGGGCUGACAUUGAUAAUGUUCCUGGUCUUAAAACUUAGGGUGAGGCUUGAUCUUGUUGAAAAGCAGAAGUUGUAUCGAAUUGGAACGAAGAAGAAGAUUCUCGUCGUGGUAAUUUUCAUCUCUCUGCUGUACUUUUCGCUGCAAGACAGGAUUUGCUUGAAUGAAUAAUCUGC